ACUGGUGCAAUCAGGAACC
rnacentral:snRNA from 1 species